CACGUAGUUAGCCGUGGCUUCCUCCUCGGCUACCGUCUCGUUUCGUCACCGAGGACAGAGGUUUUACAAUCCGAAAACCUUCUUCCCUCACGCGGCGUCGCUGCAUCAGAGUUCCCUCCAUUGUGCAAUAUCCCCCACUGCUGCCUCCCGUAGGAGUCUGGGCCGUGUCUCAGUCCCAAUGUGGCCGUUCAACCUCUCAGUCCGGCUACCGAUCGUCGACUUGGUGGGCCGUUACCCCGCAACUAUCUAAUCGGACGCGAGCCCAUCCUAUAGCGGAUUGCUCCUUUGGCGCCAAAGGGAUGUCCCCCCAGCGCGUUAUGCGGUAUUAGCGUUCGUUUCCAAACGUUAUCCCCCUCUAUAGGGCAGGUUGCUCACGUGUUACUCACCCGUCCGCCACUAAGUUCAGGGGCAACGCCCCCUUCCUUCGUUCGACUUGCAUGUGUUAGGCGCGCCGCCAGCGUUCGUCCUCGAGCCACGGAUCAAACCUCUCUGACGACUGCCGAACGGCACACGAAGGGACGUAGGAG
rnacentral:rRNA from 1 species